CUCAACCUGGGAAUUGCAUUGGAGACUGCAAGGCUAGAAUCUGGCAGAGGGGGGUAGAAUUCCACGUGUAGCAGUGAAAUGCGUAGAUAUGUGGAGGAACACCGAUGGCGAAGGCAGCCCCCUGGGUCAAGAUUGACGCUCAUGCACGAAAGCGUGGGGAGCAAACAGGAUUAGAUACCCUGGUAGUCCACGCCCUAAACGAUGUCUACUAGUUGUCGGGUCUUAAUUGACUUGGUAACGCAGCUAACGCGUGAAGUAGACCGCCUGGGGAGUACGAUCGCAAGAUUAAAACUCAAAGGAAUUGACGGGGACCCGCACAAGCGGUGGAUGAUGUGGAUUAAUUCGAUGCAACGCGAAAAACCUUACCUACCCUUGACAUGGCUGGAAUCCCCGAGAGAUUGGGGAGUGCUCGAAAGAGAACCA
rnacentral:rRNA from 1 species